ensembl:lncRNA
GUUUAUACUGGUCCAUACUGGUCCAUACUGGUGUUGGAAUGGGUUGGACAAUGGGUUCUCCUGGGAUCUUCUAUUGGUUCCUAUGGCUCUCUAUUGACCCCUAUGGGUCUCUAUUGGUCUAUACUGGUUUCUACUGGUCCAUACUGGUUUCUACUGGUCCAUACUGGUCUAUACUGGUCUAUACUGGUCUAUACUGGUCCAUACUGGUCCAUACUGGUGUUGGAAUGGGUUGGACAAUGGGCUCUCCUGGGAUCUUCUAUUGGUUCCUAUGGGUCUCUAUUGACCUCUAUGGGUCCGUUGUGGCCCAUACUGUUCUAUACUGGUCCAUACUGGUCCAUACUGGUCUAUACUGGUUCCUACUGGUCCAUACUGGUCUAUACUGGUCCAUACUGGUUUAUACUGGUCCAUACUGGUCCAUACUGGUGUUGGAAGGGGUUGGACAAUGGGUUCUCCUGGGAUCUUCUAUUGGUUCCUAUGGCUCUCUAUUGACCACUAUGGGUCCCUAUUGGUCCAUACUGGUUUCUACUGGUCCAUACUGGUUUAUACUGGUCCAUACUGGUCUAUACUGGUCCAUACUGGUGUGGGAAGGGGUUGGACAAUGGGCUCUCCUGGGGUCUUCUAUUGGUUCCUAUGGGUCUCUAUUGACCUCUAUGGGUCCGUUGUGGCCCAUACUGUUCUAUACUGGUCCAUACUGGUCCAUACUGGUCUAUACUGGUCCAUACUGGUCCAUACUGGUCUAUACUGGUGUGGGAAGGGGUUGGACAAUGGGUUCUCCUGGGAUCUUCUAUUG